CUGAUAUCCUAGAGCAGAGGGAUAACAGGGUGUACGGUGGAAUUUCGGAGGAAACGGUGUUCUGGGAUACCACUUAUCUACCCAAUGACGGUCAGACGGCCCUGUUUGGUGGUAAUAAAAACUGCACAGAACAAACAAAACUGUACGGAACAGAAUCUUCCAACACUGGCCGACCUGGUUAGAUCUAUCGGUUAUGGUGGAAUCGCGGAUAUAUAGGUCAUAAACAACGAGUGAAAUCACUUUCACAACGGUAUACGGAUCAGAGAACUUGGGAGCCAAUUUGGCUGCAAAGCUAUCAACGGCGGAUGACAACGGAUUAGCACGGCGCAGAACUCUAUCGCCGACAUGGAAACGAACUUCUCUUCGACGGAGGUUGUAAUGGUGAGCUUGCUGCUCAAAUGCACGGU